CUUCCAUCUGGAAGAAUCUGGAGACAGGUGCUGCAUGGCUGUCGUCAGCUCGUGUCGUGAGAUGUGGGUUAAGUCCCGCAACGAGCGCAACCCUACGCUGAGUUACCAGCACGUAAAGGUGGGGACGUCUCAGUGGACUGCCGGCGACAAGCCGGAGGAGGGUGGGGACGACGUCAAGUCAUCAUGGCCCUCAUGUCCAGGGCGACACACGUGCUACAAUGGCCGGCACAACGGGAAGCGACGGCGCGAGUCGUAGCGGAUCCCUCAAAGCCGGUCCCAGUUCGGAUUGCAGUCUGCAACUCGACUGCAUGAAGCCGGAAUCGCUAGUAAUCGUGGAUCAGCCAAGCCGCGGUGAAUACGUUCCCGGGCCUU
rnacentral:rRNA from 1 species